rnacentral:rRNA from 1 species
CGGGACACGUGGUAUCCUGUCUGAAUAUGGGGGGACCAUCCUCCAAGGCUAAAUACUCCUGACUGACCGAUAGUGAACCAGUACCGUGAGGGAAAGGCGAAAAGAACCCCGGCGAGGGGAGUGAAAAAGAACCUGAAACCGUGUACGUACAAGCAGUGGGAGCACGCUUAGGCGUGUGACUGCGUACCUUUUGUAUAAUGGGUCAGCGACUUAUAUUCUGUAGCAAGGUUAACCGAAUAGGGGAGCCGAAGGGAAACCGAGUCUUAACUGGGCGUUAAGUUGCAGGGUAUAGACCCGAAACCCGGUGAUCUAGCCAUGGGCAGGUUGAAGGUUGGGUAACACUAACUGGAGGACCGAACCGACUAAUGUUGAAAAAUUAGCGGAUGACUUGUGGCUGGGGGUGAAAGGCCAAUCAAACCGGGAGAUAGCUGGUUCUCCCCGAAAGCUAUUUAGGUAGCGCCUCGUGAAUUCAUCUCCGGGGGUAGAGCACUGUUUCGGCAAGGGGGUCAUCCCGACUUACCAACCCGAUGCAAACU